UACGGAGGGGGUUAGCGUUGUUCGGAAUUACUGGGCGUAAAGCGCGCGUAGGCGGAUUAGAAAGUUGGGGGUGAAAUCCCGGGGCUCAACCUCGGAACUGCCUCCAAAACUGCUAGUCUAGAGUUCGAGAGAGGUGAGUGGAAUUCCGAGUGUAGAGGUGAAAUUCGUAGAUAUUCGGUGGAACACCAGUGGCGAAGGCGGCUCACUGGCUCGAUACCGACGCUGAGGUGCGAAAGUGUGGGGAGCAAACAGG
rnacentral:rRNA from 1 species